UACGGACAGGGCAAGCGUUAUUCGGAAUUACUGGGCGUAAAGCGCGCGGAGGCGGUUAAGCAAGAAGGGGGUGAAAUCCCAGAGCUCAACUCCGGAACUGCCUUUAAAACUGGGAGGCUCGAGUCCGUAAGAGGGGUGUGGAAUUCCCAGUGUAGAGGUGAAAUGCGUAGAUAUGCGGAAGAACACCGGUGGCGAAGGCGGCGUCCUGGUACGGCACUGACGAUGAUGCUCGAAAGCGUGGGGAGCAAACAGG
rnacentral:rRNA from 1 species